rnacentral:rRNA from 1 species
GCAGGCUGCAACUCGCCUGCAUGAAGCUGGAAUUGCUAGUAAUCGCGGAUCAGCAAGCCGCGGUGAAUACGUUCCCGGGCCUUGUACACACCGCCCGUCACACCAUGAGAGUCGGGAACACCCGAAGUCCGUAGUCUAACCGCAAGGGGGGCGCGGCCGAAGGGUGGGUUCGAUAAUUGGGGUGAAGUCGUAACAAGGUAUC